AGUGAACGCUGGCGGUAGGCCUAACACAUGCAAGUCGAACGGCAGCACAGUAAGAGCUUGCUCUUACGGGUGGCGAGUGGCGGACGGGUGAGGAAUACAUCGGAAUCUACUUUUUCGUGGGGGAUAACGUAGGGAAACUUACGCUAAUACCGCAUACGACCUUCGGGUGAAAGCAGGGGAUCUUCGGACCUUGCGCGAUUGAAUGAGCCGAUGUCGGAUUAGCUAGUUGGCGGGGUAAAGGCCCACCAAGGCGACGAUCCGUAGCUGGUCUGAGAGGAUGGUCAGCCACACUGGAACUGAGACACGGUCCAGGCUCCUACGGGAGGCAGCAGUGGGGAAUAUUGGACAAUGGGCGCAAGCCUGAUCCAGCCAUACCGCGUGGGUGAAGAAGGCCUUCGGGUUGUAAAGCCCUUUUGUUGGGAAAGAAAAGCAGCAGGUUAAUACCCCGCUGUUCUGACGGUACCCAAAGAAUAAGCACCGGCUAACUUCGUG
rnacentral:rRNA from 1 species